CGGGACGUGGCGCAGCCUGGUAGCGUACUUGAAUGGGGUUCAAGGGGUCGCGGGUUCGAAUCCCGCCGUCCCGACCA
rnacentral:tRNA from 6 species